GAUGAACGCUGGCGGCAGGCUUAACACAUGCAAGUCGAGCGAGCGGCGGACGGGUGAGUAAUGUCUGGGAAACUGCCUCAUGGAGGGGGAUAACUACUGGAAACGGUAGCUAAUACCGCAUACCAUCAGAUGUGCCCAGAUGGGAUUAGCUGGUAGGUGGGGUAAUGGCUCACCUAGGCGACGAUCCCUAGCUGGUCUGCGAGGAUGACCAGCAACACUGGAACUGAGACACGGUCCAGACUCCUACGGGAGGAAGCAGUGGGGAAUAUUGGACAAGGGGCGCAAGCCUGAGGCAGCCAUGCCGCGUGUGUGAAGAAGGCCUUCGGGUUGUAAAGCACUUUCAGCGAGGAGGCGUUACCCGCAGAAGAAGCACCGGCUAACUCCGUGCCAGCAGCCGCGGUAAUUC
rnacentral:rRNA from 1 species